rnacentral:rRNA from 1 species
CAGCAGCCGCGGGAAAACGGAGGGGGCUAGCGUUGUUCGGAAUUACUGGGCGUAAAGCGCACGUAGGCGGCUUGGUAAGUUAGAGGUGAAAGCCUGGAGCUCAACCCCAGAAUUGCCUUUAAGACUGCCGAGCUAGCAGGUGAGAGAGGUAAGUGGAAUUCCGAGUGUAGAGGUGAAAUUCGUAGAUAUUCGGAAGAACACCAGUGGCGAAGGCGGCUUACUGGCUCAUACUGGACGCUGAGGUGCGAAAGCGUGGGGAGCAAACAGGAUUAGAUACCCCCGUAGUCCCUGUCUCUUAUAC